rnacentral:lncRNA from 1 species
UAUUGCUCUACGUAGUAUUUUAUGUGGGACUACUGUAUUUGUUAUUCAAAAGAUCGAUCUAAUAGAAAAUAAGCACGGAAAUAUAUAUUAAUCUCUUCACGUACUUGCAUGAUGAAUAUGAAAGACACAUGCUCAGAAAUAUUUAUUAACACUUUCACUCACGUAAAUGAUAGAUAUGAAAAGCACGUGGAAUUAAAAAAUAGGAUAGAGGUCGAAGAUAGGGAUUAAAUUCAUUAUAUAUAAUUACGAAAGCUUGAACUCGUUGAAUGCCAACUGUUGGGAUUGAACCCACAACUUCAUAGAAUGAAGAGUUUUAGAAUUAUUUUUGAUAUUUAACGGGAGUCAAAGUCAAAUAAACCCAAUAAACUAUAUAAAUUCCCACUAAAAUUGACUCUAAGUUUUAACAUUUAAUGAAAGAUUUAGAUUUAACUCUGACAUUUAAUAAGAGGUUUAGAAUUGACUCUGACAUUUAACAUUUGAUUCUGACUCUCCGUAAAUGUUAGAGUCAAAUGUGGGGAUUUAUUUGGUUUAUUUGGUUUGCAUGGAGAGCUUCACUAACAUUAAUAUGUAGUAAUACCGACUGUCCCUAGAGCAAGUGGCAAAGGGCUUGGUGGUUGGUACCCGGGACCCAAGUUCGAAUCCUAGUUGAUUUAUAUUUCCAGCUAAGUGUAUUUCUAAAUGAAAUAAACGAAGCGGAUAGCGUGCUACCUAUCUCUAAAAUAAAAAAAAUAAAAAACAUUAAUAUGUAGCAAUCUAUAAAAUAACCAAAAC